rnacentral:rRNA from 1 species
ACGGGAGGCAGCAGUGGGGAAUAUUGGACAAUGGGGGAAACCCUGAUCCAGCGACGCCGCGUGAGUGAAGAAGUAUUUCGGUAUGUAAAGCUCUAUCAGCAAGGAAGAAAAUGACGGUACUUGACUAAGAAGCUCCGGCUAAAUACGUGCCAGCAGCCGCGGUAAUACGUAUGGAGCAAGCGUUAUCCGGAUUUACUGGGUGUAAAGGGAGCGUAGACGGCAAAGCAAGUCUGAAGUGAAAUCCCGGGGCUCAACCCCGGAACUGCUUUGGAAACUGUUUAGCUAGAGUGCAGGAGAGGUAAGCGGAAUUCCUAGUGUAGCGGUGAAAUGCGUAGAUAUUAGGAGGAACACCAGUGGCGAAGGCGGCUUACUGGACUGUAACUGACGUUGAGGCUCGAAAGCGUGGGGAGCAAACAGGAUUAGAUACCCUGGUA